GACGAACGCUGGCGGCGUGCCUAAUACAUGCAAGUCGAACGCAGUGGGGACGGGUGAGUAACACGUGGGUAACCUCCCAUCAGAGGGGAUAACACUUGGAAACAGGUGCUAAACCGAUACUGAUGGAUGGACCCGCGGUGCAUGAGCUAGUUGGUGAGGUAACGGCUCACCAAGGCCACGAUGCAGAGCCGACCUGAGAGGGUAGUGGGCCAAACUGGGACUGAGACAGUGCCCAGACUCCUACGGGAGGCAGCAGUAGGGAAUCUUCGGAAAGGGACGAAAGUCUGAACGAGCAACGCCGCGUUAGUGAAGAAGGUUAUGGGAUCGUAAAACUCUGUUGUUAGAGAAGCGGAAUCUAACCAGAAAGCCACGGCUAACUACGUGCAAGCAGCCGCGUAAUAC
rnacentral:rRNA from 1 species